CGCCUCCUCUCCUCCCGCCUCGCCGCCGCCUCCUCUCCCCUCCCGCGCCCGCCUCCCUGCCCUGCCGCCGGCGCCGCCGCCGCCGCUCGCCCGGGCACCCAUCCUCGGCCUCACGCCGCCCAUCUAGAGAGAUGGGGGCCGCGCGCGACGAGGCCGGCCUAGCCGCCGCCUCCUUCUCCCGCGACCGCGCCGCCCUCUCCUCCUUCCUCCGGCCUCCCUGCCGUGCCGCCGCGGCGGCUGCACGUCCAGCCCCACGCCGUCGUCGUCUUCUUCGCCCAACCGGCCGCCGCCGCACCGCACGCUCGUGUGCAGGGGCGAGAAGGGGAACCGCCGCCCGCUCCCGGAGCGCGAGGAGGACGAGGGGAGGCAGCCCCCAGAUCCACGGCGGCAUCGACGCGCCGUCGUCGACCUGAGCCGCCACCGUCCUCAUGGCCCCCUCCCUCCGCGGCGCCGGCACCGCGGCUCCCUCCUCCGCAGGCUCCCUGCCUCGUGGGGCCUGGCGGUCUCGCGCGCGGACGACAGCCGCCGACUCCUUCACCUAUCCAGUCGAGCUCGCGCGACGCCAUCACCGGGACCGGGAGCAGCACCGGCCGUCCAUGAAUGAAUUAGAAUUAGAAAUCAAACUAUUUCUGGUAUUUUAAGGAUUGAGACAGCUGGUUGGCUUGCCCAUUUAUAGCUCGCCUCCACACAUUAGGAAGGCGAUGCCAUUAUGCCUUGGUUGCCAUGGAGCCGAGCUAGGACACUGGUCAGCCUGUCACCUAUCUCCAUCAAGAUCACCUUCCCCCAAGGUCCUGUGGAGGACGGCGACCAUCUCCGGUAGCCGAUGACCGAGCCGCCACCCACUGGCGGUCCUCGGAUUGUCCUGAUCGACCAAGCUCAGAGCACGUCAUCGGCUCCCAAGCCCUCCUGCUUCGACACCGCAGAUGGCGCAUCAAUGGCCAGAGCAGAGGAGAAGAGGAGGAGAUCCUUUCCGUGCAGAUAGCAAGAAAUGGGAGGCAGAUGCGGAUGCGGAGGAUGGCAUUGGGGUUUGAUGCAUUCCUUCCCCUCCCAGGCAAGGUCUUCGUCAAGGAGAUUUCUGGGAUUCAAGGUCCCCUGACCCUGGCCAAGGACUAUGACAUGGAAUGACCUGUUAAUGUUGUUGACACAUCUUCUCUUCUUUAUCGUGUAUGCUCCUGUGUCUACGAGGGAGCUCUUCUCCACGAUGCCGGUGACUAGCGCACGCGGUCUCCGUUUGAUCGUAUCCCCGGCAAGUAAGGUUUUGCUUUGUGGCCUCAAGUUCAGCGUAUCCUUGGUUUUAUAUUGAAUAAAUGCCUGUAGUCUGCACUCAUUUCUGUAACAUAGAAGUUUAUCAUGCUCCUCUUCAUCUUAUGCUUUGUAGUGAACUUGAUACGUAUAUUUAGUGUCUAUGUCAAUACCUGUGGUUCUGAAGUGUAUUUGAGAUGUAUUUUCCUUCUGGAAAGGCCACACUAUUCCUUCCAAGUAUAUUCAUAGUAAAUGAGAAUGCAUGUGUUUCCUGUAUGUAAUAGUGCGACACACGCAUUCUCAUUCUGGAAAGGCCAAGCUCAAGAAGUACCUCUGGGGUCUCCACAACACCAACAUCAACGGGCUGGCUUGUUCAUGUUCUUCUGGUGCUGUCAAUCCGUCAGUUGCAUCUAAUUAUGCAUUGGACAGCUCAACAAUUUGAUUAUGAGUCUAUUCUGGUGCACAUCCGGUCGAUGAUUUCUAAGGCUAUACAGAUCUUCUAAUAUUUGUAGAGGGCUAACGAAAAUACUCAUGCUUGAAGUGCCAAGAAUAUCAUUUCUUGCAAGAUAAGUACUUGCUUGAUCACAUCGUUGGGACCGGCAUCCUCGCGCCAAGGCGUGAUCCCGAUCUCCAUGUAAAUCUUCCCCUGCGCCCCCGCCGCGUCAAAUGCCUCCGCCGCAUCCGCUUCCCCAGCGCCUCCUCAUCAGCGGCGGCCGAGGACAGUGACUGCCAGAUCACAGGGGUGGCGGGCCCUAACCGGCCCAGGGGCGUGCCCAGGAAGAGGGAUGCCAGGGUGCCGAGCCAGGUCCAUGGUGACCGCGUCAAGACCGUUCCACCGAGGGGGAGGCUCCCUAGGGCGGCCAAGGAGAAAGAGAGCAAGUUGGCCAAGGAGCUCAGGAGGGAGCUGGAGUGCACCUUGAACCAGAUGAAUGACUUGGUGCGCAUCUUACUAGCCACUUAUUGUUAUUGGUCCUUAUACUCCCUGCCCCUGCGCUCUGGCUUCUACUCGCAAAUAUCUAUUGUUGCAAAAAUGCAUGUUAGAUUUAAAUGUCAUAUGAAUCAUUUGAUGAAUCUUUAAUGAGUACUUCUCGAAGAAUAUCAUUUUUUUCUUCUCUUCUUGGGCCAGCGUUACACAACUUCUCUUGGAGCAAUGAGGAACUUCAACCAUUCUUGGUGAAGGAAAAUUGAUGGUAGAUGUAUUAGUUAGCGUGGACUUUUAUAAUCUUUAAAACUUGUGUGGACUGCUAUCUAAGUGUCACUAGCCUUCUGUAUAAAUACUUCACUUUCAGUAUUUUGUACUAUCUCGCUGCCCUAUGCGCUACUCUUCUCUUUCGAUGUAAAUGACAUGCUUUAAUUGUUAUUAACGGCUUCUGAUCUGCAGAAUGCAAAACUUUCUAUGUAAAUGACUUGUUGUAAUCCUCAUCUAUUAAAUGUUGCUUUUGGUCUA